rnacentral:rRNA from 1 species
GACGAACGCUGGCGGCGUGCCUAAUACAUGCAAGUCGAACGCAGUGGGGACGGGUGAGUAACACGUGGGUAACCUCCCAUCAGAGGGGAUAACACUUGGAAACAGGUGCUAAACCGAUACUGAUGGAUGAACCCGCGGUGCAUUAGCUAGUUGGUGAGGUAACGGCUCACCAAGGCCACGUUGCAUAGCCGACCUGAGAGGGUGAGCGGCCACGCUGGGACUGAGACACGGCCCAGACUCCUACGGGAGGCAGCAGUGGAGAAUAUUCGGCAAUGGACGAAAGUCUGACAGAGCAACGCCGCGUGAGUGAAGAAGGUUUUCGGGUCGUAAAACGCUGUUGUUGGAGAAGCGGGAUCUAACCAGAAAGCAACGGCUAACUACGUGCCAGAAGCAGCGGAAAUUC